rnacentral:rRNA from 1 species
UACGGAGGGUGCGAGCGUUGUCCGGAAUCAUUGGGCGUCAAGGGCGCGUAGGCGGCUCAUGAAGGCUGUGGUGAAAGUCCGGGGCUCAACCUCGGAUCGGCCGUGGCGACUCGUGGGCUGGAGCACUGUAGAGGCGGGUGGAAUUCCGGGUGUAGCGGUGGAAUGCGUAGAGAUCCGGAAGAACACCAGUGGCGAAGGCGGCCCGCUGGGCAGUGGCUGACGCUGAAGCGCGACAGCGUGGGGAGCAAACAGG